UCAAAUUUGAAAUCUGGCCUCACGGUCCGAGUUGUAAUUUGUAGAGGAUGCUUCGAGCAUGGUCUGGCCUAAGUUCCUUGGAACAGGACGUCAUAGAGGGUGAGAAUCCCGUAUGCGGCCAGGUGCCUACGCUCAUGUGAAGCUCCUUCGACGAGUCGAGUUGUUUGGGAAUGCAGCUCAAAAUGGGUGGUAAAUUUCAUCUAAAGCUAAAUAUUGGCCAGAGACCGAUAGCGCACAAGUAGAGUGAUCGAAAGAUGAAAAGCACUUUGGAAAGAGAGUUAAACAGUACGUGAAAUUGUUGAAAGGGAAGCGCUUGCAACCAGACUUGCGCGCGGCCGAUCAUCCGGUGUUCUCACCGGUGCACUCGGCCGUGCUCAGGCCAGCAUCGGUUUUGGCGGCUGGAUAAAGGCCCUAGGAAUGUAGCUCCUCUCGGGGAGUGUUAUAGCCUAGGGUGCAAUGCAGCCUGCUGGGACCGAGGACCGCGCUUCGGCUAGGAUGCUGGCGUAAUGGUUGUAAGCGGCCCGUCUUGAAACACGGACCAAGGAGUCUAACAUCUAUGCGAGUGUUUGGGUGUCAAACCCAUACGCGUAAUGAAAGUGAACGGAGGUGAGAACCCUUAAGGGUGCAUCAUCGACCGGUCCUGAAGUUUACGGAAGGAUCUGAGUAAGAGCAUAGCUGUUGGGACCCGAAAGAUGGUGAACUAUGCCUGAAUAGGGUGAAGCCAGAGGAAACUCUGGUGGAGGCUCGCAGCGGUUCUGACGUGCAAAUCGAUCGUCAAAUUUGGGUAUAGGGGCGAAAGACUAAUCGAACCAUUGACCUGUAGGAACACUACUAGGUGGUUAAGAGGCGGCUAAAAGUGCCGUCUAGUCCCGACGCCGGGGCGACACUGUCAAAUUGCGGGAACAUCCUUAGAGCCUAGACUACCGCAGCCUUCCUGAAAGGGGGGUGC
rnacentral:rRNA from 1 species